rnacentral:rRNA from 1 species
GGCGCACGGGUGCGUAACGCGUGGGAAUCUGCCCUUGGGUUCGGAAUAACAGCGAGAAAUAGAUGCUAAUACCGGAUGAUGACGUAAGUCCAAAGAUUUAUCGCCCAGGGAUGAGCCCGCGUAGGAUUAGCUAGUUGGUGGGGUAAAGGCCUACCAAGGCGACGAUCCUUAGCUGGUCUGAGAGGAUGAUCAGCCACACUGGGACUGAGACACGGCCCAGACUCCUACGGGAGGCAGCAGUGGGGAAUAUUGGACAAUGGGCGAAAGCCUGAUCCAGCAAUGCCGCGUGAGUGAUGAAGGCCCUAGGGUUGUAAAGCUCUUUUACCCGGGAUGAUAAUGACAGUACCGGGAGAAUAAGCUCCGGCUAACUCCGUGCCAGCAGCCGCGGUAAU